rnacentral:rRNA from 1 species
CCGUGGCGGCAGGCUUACACAUGCAGUCUGAGCGGAGUGAUGGUGCUUGCACUAUCACUUAGCGGCGGACGGGUGAGUAAUGCUUAGGAAUCUGCCUAUUAGUGGGGGACAACAUCUCGAAAGGGAUGCUAAUACCGCAUACGUCCUACGGGAGAAAGCAGGGGAUCACUUGUGACCUUGCGCUAAUAGAUGAGCCUAAGUCGGAUUAGCUAGUUGGUGGGGUAAAGGCCUACCAAGGCGACGAUCUGUAGCGGGUCUGAGAGGAUGAUCCGCCACACUGGGACUGAGACACGGCCCAGACUCCUACGGGAGGCAGCAGUGGGGAAUAUUGGACAAUGGGGGGAACCCUGAUCCAGCCAUGCCGCGUGUGUGAAGAAGGCCUUAUGGUUGUAAAGCACUUUAAGCGAGGAGGAGGCUUACCUAGUUAAUACCUGGGAUAAGUGGACGUUACUCGCAGAAUAAGCACCGGCUAACUCUGUGCCAGCAGCCGCGGUAAUACAGAGGGUGCAAGCGUUAAUCGGAUUUACUGGGCGUAAAGCGCGCGUAGGCGGCCAAUUAAGUCAAAUGUGAAAUCCCCGAGCUUAACUUGGGAAUUGCAUUCGAUACUGGUUGGCUAGAGUGUGGGAGAGGAUGGUAGAAUUCCAGGUGUAGCGGUUGAAAUGCGUAGAGAUCUGGAGGAAUACCGAUGGCGAAGGCAGGCAUCC